UCAUUGGAUGAAGUAGAUCAGGAAGGCAACAGUGCUGUUCAUGUCGCUUCACAACAUGGCUACCUUGGAUGCAUACAGGGUCUCUACAGGAAGAGAAGUCUACACCAGAGACAGAACAAUAGGCAUCAAGAGCCAGCUGCUCAGAAAAUCACAAGAGAAAUGUUUACCAAAACCAUGAUGUGAUGGUGAAAAGAUUAAUAUAAGCAAAAAGCUGAGAAUCCCUGAAAUCUCUCUAGAAGACCUGCUUUCACACGCCUGCCUUGGGAGAGCUACCCUAAGAGGGAAUAUUCAGAAUACCUGGAUGUGUUCACAUCGGCGUUGGCAAUUGUGCGUCUCCUAAUUUAAGAUACCGACUUGGAAAGGGGUGAUAAGGAGUAGGCAUGCGUAGAAUGGAAAGUCAAAAUACUUACCAAUAUAUGCAAAAUGGUUCAAAAGGACAGUGGUGCUUUUCUGUAGAAGAAAGACAAAUAAAGAUUUUUUUUUUAAAAA
rnacentral:lncRNA from 1 species